rnacentral:rRNA from 1 species
CGGAGGGUGCAAGCGUUAUCCGGAUUCACUGGGUUUAAAGGGUGUGUAGGCGGGUAUUUAAGUCAGUGGUGAAAUCUCCGAGCUCAACUCGGAAACUGCCAUUGAUACUAUUUAUCUUGAAUAUUGUUGAGGUAGGCGGAAUAUGUCAUGUAGCGGUGAAAUGCUUAGAUAUGACAUAGAACACCGAUUGCGAAGGCAGCUUGCUAACAAUUAUUGACGCUGAGGCACGAAAGCGUGGGGAUCAAACAGGAUUAGAUACCCUGGUAGUCCACGCCCUAAACGAUGAUUACUGGACAUUUGCGAUAUACAGUGAGUGUCUGAGCGAAAGCAUUAAGUAAUCCACCUGGGAAGUACGUCCGCAAGGAUG